rnacentral:rRNA from 1 species
UACAGAGGGUGCAAGCGUUAAUCGGAAUUACUGGGCGUAAAGCGUGCGUAGACGGUUGCGUAAGUCAGAUGUGAAAGCCCCGGGCUCAACCUGGGAAUUGCAUUUGAGACUGCGUAGCUAGGGUGCGGAAGAGGGAAGCGGAAUUUCCGGUGUAGCGGUGAAAUGCGUAGAUAUCGGAAGGAACACCAGUGGCGAAAGCGGCUUCCUGGUCCAGCACCGACGUUCAGGCACGAAAGCGUGGGGAGCAAACGAG